rnacentral:rRNA from 1 species
UACGUAGGGGGCAAGCGUUGUCCGGAUUUAUUGGGCGUAAAGCGCACGCAGGCGGUCAAGUCAGUUUUGAGUGACAGGUGGUGGCUUAACUGCCACAGGCCUCAAAAGACGGCUUGACUUGAGGGCUUGAGAGGGACGCGGAAUUCCAGGUGGAGCGGUGAAAUGCGUAGAGAUCUGGAAGAACACCAAAGGCGAAGGCAGCGUCCUGGCAAGUUCCUAACGCUCAGGUGCGAAAGCUAGGGGAGCGAACGGG